rnacentral:lncRNA from 1 species
GAUCCCCACAGAUCCCAUUGAGCCCCAUAGAUCUCAGUGUACCCCAUAGAUCCUGGUGUGCCCCACAGAUCCCAGUGUGCCCCACAGAUUCCACUGAGCCCCAUAGAUGUCAGUGUGCCCCACAGAUCCCAUUGAGCCCCACAGAUCCCAGUGUGCCCCACAGCUGCCCCUAUUGUAGUGCAGGGUGAGGUGUGACAUGGGGGGCACACGCACACUCACACACGUGCACACAUACAUGUGCACUUACAUACAUGAACACACACACACACACACACACAUAUGUACGCACUCACACGUGCACUCACACAUGUGCACUCACACACAUGUGCACUCACACAUGUGCACUCACACACAUGUGCACUCACACAUGCGCAGACACGUGCUCACCCACACACACACUCACACACAUGCAUUCACACACAUGUGCUCUCACAUGUGCUCUCACACACACAUGCUUUUACACACACGUGCACUCAGACACACGUGCUAUCACAUAUGUGCUCUCACGCACAUACUCUCACACACAUGCAAUUAGACACGUUCUCACACACACAUGCACUCACGUACACUCACACACAUGUGCACUCACACAUGCACUCACACACACAUGCUCACACACGUGCACUCAGACACAUGUGCUUUCACACACACAUGCACUCACACAUGCCUGCACUCACACACACGCACCCUCCCAAACACAUGUGCACUCACACAUGUACACUCACACACGUGCUCUCACACACACGUGCUCUUACACACACGUGCUCUCACACACAUGUGCUCUCACACCCACCUUUUUGCACCAGUGCUGUGGAGGGGAGAGAGGAGAGAGGUCAAGGGGUGCAACACGGAACCGUGCACGGAACCGUGCACACGGAAUGGCAUGGAACGGUGCACGUGGAACGGUGCACACGGAACGGUGCACAUGAAAUGGUGCAUGGAAUGGUGCACAUGGAAUGGUGCACAUGGAAUGGUGCAUGGAAUGGUGCACAUGGAAUGGUGCACAUGGAAUGGUGCGCAUAGAAUGGUGUGUGUGGAAUGGUGCACAUGGAACACUGCACAUGGAAUGGUGCACACUGAAUGGUGCACAUGGAAUGGCGUACAUGGAAUGGUGCAUGGAACAGUGCAUGGAAUGGUGCACAGGGAAUGGUGCACAGAAUGGUGCGUGGAAUGGUGCACACGGAACGGUGCAUGUGGAACAGUGCAUGGAAUGGUGCACAUGAAAUGGUGCAUGGAACAGUGCAUGGAAUGGUGCAGAGAACGGUGCAUGGACUGGUGCACAUGGAACAGUGCAUGGAAUGGUGCAUGGACUGGUGCACAGGGACUGGUGCAUGGAGCAGCACACAGAAGAGCACGCAUGGAACGGCGCACGGCACACAGAACAGCACACGGAACGGCGCACGGAUCUGCGUGUGACACACAGCACGCGGCACAGCACGGCGCACACGGUGCACGGCACGCGGCACGCAAUGCAUGGCGUGCAGCACACAGCACACAGCACGCAACACACGGCACGCGGGUGUUGUGGCACGCAGCACACGGUGCACGGCACACGAUGCACAACACGCAGCACACGUUGCAACGCGGCACACGGAACACAGAACGUGGCACAAAGCACAUGGCACGCAGAACAUGGCAGGGUGCAUGGCACGCGGCACACAACAUACAACACAGCAUGAUGCAUGGCACACAGCACAUGGCACGCAGCACACAGCACCCAGCACAUGCAGCACACACGUGACACACUGCACACAUGGAUGAUGCACGGCACACGCAGCACACGCUGUGACACAGCGCAUGGCACACGCAGCACACACGUGACACGCAGCACACAGUGAUGAGGCACGGCACAUGCGGUACACACCGUGACAUGCAGCACACGGCACACACAGCACACGUGACACGCUGCACACACGUGACACGGCGCACGCACUGUGACAUGCAGCACACACAUGACACACAGCACACACGUGACACGCAGCACAUGCUGUGACAUGCAGCACAUGGCACACACGGCACACACAUGACACACCGCACACGUGACACGCUGCGCACGCUGUGACACGCAGCCCUGGCAGCAAUGCGAACAAAUGGGAGGGAAGGGGGGGGGCAGGAAGGAGGG